UUAUCAAAGAGCAAAGAUGAAAUUUUAGAAACAAAAACACUUUAAUAGAAACUGCUCCACGGUUCCCUCUGUCUUAUUUCUGUUCCUGCAUCCCCUACAGGUGAAUUCUAAUUCUGUCUAAUACAUGCCGACGAGCACAGACCUCCAGGGACGUGUGCAUUUAUCAGACCAAACCCAACCCGGGCCCACCUGGCAGCUUUAGUGACUCUAGAUAACCUCAGGCUGACCACAUGUCCCCAUGGUGACAACGAUGGAGACACCCCAUCGUUUAAAUGUCUGCCCUAUCAACUUUUGAUGAUACUGUCUAUGCCUAUCACGGUGACCAUGAGUAACAAGGAUUCAGGGUUCGAUUCCAGAGAGGGAGCCUGAAGAAUGGUUACCACAUCCAAGGAAGGCAUCAGGCAUGCAAAUUACCCAAUUACCCACUCCCGACCCAGGGAGGUAGAGGCAAAAAUAACACUACAAACACUUCUGAGGCUCUGUAAUUAGAAUGAGCACAUUUUAAAUACUUGAAUGAGGAUCUACUGGAGAUCAAGACUGAUGCCAGGCAGCUGGGGU
rnacentral:ncRNA from 1 species